rnacentral:misc_RNA from 1 species
UUGAAGUGGUAAUGACUAAACAAAAGAUCAAGUACCAUCCUGAGCUUGAAAGCAUUUGCAAGGCACUUAAGGCAGUAGAUCUUCAGAGUUCUGAAGUUCCAAGCUUGCAGCAUGUAAAGGCAUGUGAUAUGUCCUACCAAGCUGUGUUACCUGAGAUUCAUGAGGUUCUGAGAUCUGCUUGUGAGACACAUAAAUUGCCCUUAGCUCAAACUUGGGUCCCAUGCAUCCAGCAAGGCAAGGCAGGGUGCCGACAUUCUGCUGAAAACUACCAUCAUUGUGUUUCCACUGUGGAUCUUGCUUGCUAUGUACGUGACACUGGUGUCCAGGCUUUUCAUGAGGCUUGCUCUGAGCAUCACUUGUUAAAAGGUCAAGGAGUUGCUGGGGAAGCCUUUUUGACUAACCAACCUUGCUUCACAAGUGACAUAACUUCAUAUGGCAAAACUGAGUAUCCUCUUUCUCACCAUGCAAGGAUGUUUGGGUUGCAUGCUGCUGUUGCAAUUCGCCUAAGAAGUGUGCACACUGGUAGAGCUGACUUUGUGCUGGAGUUCUUUUUGCCUGCGGAUUGCACAGAUCCUGAAAAACAGAAGAAAAUGCUUACUUCAUUGUCCAUCAUUAUACAACAGGUCUGCCGGUCCUUACGGGUAAUAGCAGACAAGGAGCUAGAGGAAACUGACUUGCCAAUUAGUGAAGUUUUAGCCCCUUCAUAUGGUACACCUCCCAGAGAAGAGAUGUUAAGGGUGACACAGCCCAACUCUGAAAGCUAUGGUGGAGAUCAUUUAAGUGACCGUUUCACAGGGAUCCAACAAAGUGGAAGUGUUGUCUCAUCAUGUCAAGAAGAGAAGCAAAAGGUAUUAAUACAUAAAAAUUCUGUGGGCCGCAGGCAAAAUCAAGAAGAUUAUAGUCUAAAGGUGAGUGUUGAAUGUGGUGGUGAUUCUGCAGUUGCUGAAGGUAGCUUUUCAAGCGUCUGUGUAGGUAGAACAAGAGAGAAAAGACGAACCAGGGCAGAGAAAGCAAUCACCUUGCAAGUUCUUCAGCAAUAUUUUGCUGGAAGCUUAAAAGAUGCUGCAAAAAGCAUUGGUGUGUGCCCCACAACCUUGAAAAGAAUAUGUAGGCAACAUGGAAUAAAACGAUGGCCUUCUCGGAAAAUCAAGAAGGUUGGCCACUCCUUAAAGAAACUCCAGGUUGUGAUUGACUCAGUCGAAGGUGCCUCUGGUGCUUUUCAGAUUGAUUCCUUUUAUACAAAAUUUCCUGAGCUGGCCUCCUCAAAUUUAUCAAGAAGCAAUCCAUUUUCAACCUCAAAGCAGCUUGAUCAUCCAGAGUCAUCAAGCAUACAGCCUGAGGGAGGUAUUUUCCGCUCCCAGGUGACUGCACCGAAAUCACCCUCUUCCUCAUGCAGUCAGAUUUCCAGUUCAAGCCAUUGUUUUUCUAGUGGGACACAGCAACACGCAUCUGCAUUCACCAUUCCCACCAGCAGAGAUCCUAUGCUUGGAGAAAACUCAGGUAAUUGUGUGUUAAAGAGGGUCAGAAGUGAUGCAGAGCUGCAUGCCUCUAUUCAAGCAGAACAAAACCUGCUGCCAAGAUCUCGAAGCCAUAAAUCUCUUUGUGAACAGCCUGAUUUGGGAAAGCUUCCGCCAUUAGCUAAAAAGAGCAACAGGAUAUCUCAAGAGAUCGAUGCUCAGAGAGUGAAAGUCACAUGUGGAAAUGAGAAAAUCAGGUUUCGCAUGCCAAACAAUUGGGAACUUGAAGAUCUAUUGCAAGAAAUUGCAAGACGAUUUAAUAUAGAUGACAUACAUAAAUAUGAUCUGAAGUACUUGGAUGAUGACUCUGAUUGGGUCUUAUUAACAUGUGAUGAUGAUUUGAAGGAGUGUAUUGACAUAUGCCAAUCAUCUCAAAGCUACACAAUUAAACUCUUGCUCCAAAUUUCUCCUUGUCUUUUGGACGGGUCUAUGAAAAGCCGUGGCCA